GGGGACCGUUCAACACCGAAUUUAAGCAGGAAGGGGGUUUGUUAUCUGAUAAUGGAGAAAAUUCGGGCGACGAAGUUUCAGGAAUGUCUGUUCCCAUGGUGGAGACCAAGACGAAUAACAGUGAGGAAGGCAGGGAAGAAAAAGAAGAAGUAGAUGAAGGAGAAGAAGAGGAGCAGGUAGCAAAUGAUCAAGAACAUGAGUUCUCUAUUAGUGAUUUUGUAUGGGCCAAAAUUAAAAGUCACCCAUGGUGGCCUGGGCAGAUCUAUGAUCCUUCAGAUGCAUCAAAGUUUGCUGCACAGUGCA